rnacentral:pre_miRNA from 1 species
GUGUGCAGUACACUACUCCAGUGCCUGGCAAUCAUGUGUGAUUAAAUAUGGUUGACAGCUCUUGGGGUGGGGUAAUACACAA